rnacentral:rRNA from 1 species
GAUGAACGCUAGCGGCAGGCUUAAUACAUGCAAGUCGAACGGGAUCCGAGGUAGCAAUACUUUGGUGAGAGUGGCGCACGGGUGCGUAACGCGUAUGCAACCUACCUUUAACAGGGGAAUAGCCCCGAGAAAUCGGGAUUAAUACUCCGUAACAUUGCGGGAUGGCAUCAUUCUGCAAUUAAAGAUUUAUCGGUUAAAGAUGGGCAUGCGUGACAUUAGCUUGUUGGUGAGGUAACGGCUCACCAAGGCAACGAUGUCUAGGGGUCCUGAGAGGGUUAUCCCCCACACUGGUACUGAGACACGGACCAGACUCCUACGGGAGGCAGCAGUAAGGAAUAUUGGUCAAUGGGCGCAAGCCUGAACCAGCCAUGCCGCGUGCAGGAAGACGGCCCUAUGGGUUGUAAACUGCUUUUGUCAGGGAAUAAACCUGUCUACGUGUAGACAGCUGAAGGUACCUGAAGAAUAAGCAUCGGCUAACUCCGUGCCAGCAGCC